UACGGGGGGGGCAAGCGUUGUUCGGAAUUACUGGGCGUAAAGGGCUCGUAGGCGGCCAACUAAGUCAGACGUGAAAUCCCUCGGCUUAACCGGGGAACUGCGUCUGAUACUGGAUGGCUAGAGUUUGGGAGAGGGAUGCGGAAUUCCAGGUGUAGCGGUGAAAUGCGUAGAUAUCGGGGGGAAUACCAGUGGCGAAAGCGGCACCCUGGCGUCGUACUGACGCACAUGUGCGAAAGCGUGGGGAGCGAACGGG
rnacentral:rRNA from 1 species